GCCUGUGUGUCUGGGAUAGCUCAGUUGGUAGAGCAUGAGACUUUUCAUCCCAGGGUUGUGGUUUCAAGCCCCACAUUGGGCA